rnacentral:rRNA from 1 species
GUUUCCGUAGGUGAACCUGCGGAAGGAUCAUUACCGAGUGAGGGCCCUCUGGGUCCAACCUCCCACCCGUGUUUAUUUUACCUUGUUGCUUCGGCGGGCCCGCCUUAACUGGCCGCCGGGGGGCUUACGCCCCCGGGCCCGCGCCCGCCGAAGACACCCUCGAACUCUGUCUGAAGAUUGUAGUCUGAGUGAAAAUAUAAAUUAUUUAAAACUUUCAACAACGGAUCUCUUGGUUCCGGCAUCGAUGAAGAACGCAGCGAAAUGCGAUACGUAAUGUGAAUUGCAAAUUCAGUGAAUCAUCGAGUCUUUGAACGCACAUUGCGCCCCCUGGUAUUCCGGGGGGCAUGCCUGUCCGAGCGUCAUUUCUGCCCUCAAGCACGGCUUGUGUGUUGGGCCCCGUCCUCCGAUCCCGGGGGACGGGCCCGAAAGGCAGCGGCGGCACCGCGUCCGGUCCUCGAGCGUAUGGGGCUUUGUCACCCGCUCUGUAGGCCCGGCCGGCGCUUGCCGAUCAACCCAAAUUUUUAUCCAGGUUGACCUCGGAUCAGGUAGGGAUACCCGCUGAACUUA